UAGUGAGUUUGAUCCUGGCUCAGAACGAACGCUGGCGGCAGGCUUAACACAUGCAAGUCGAGCGAGAUCUUCGGGUCUAGCGGCGGACGGGUGAGUAACGCGUGGGAACGUGCCCUUUGCUACGGAAUAGUCCUGGGAAACUGGGGUAAUACCGUAUACGCCCUUUUGGGGAAAGAUUUAUCGGCGAAGGAUCGGCCCGCGUUGGAUUAGCUAGUUGGUGAGGUAAAGGCUCACCAAGGCGACGAUCAGUAGCUGGUCUGAGAUGACGACCAGCCACACUGGAACUGAGACACGGUCCAGACUCCUACGGGA
rnacentral:rRNA from 1 species